rnacentral:rRNA from 1 species
UACGUAGGGUGCAGGCGUUAAUCGGAAUUACGUGGGCGUAAAGCGUGCGCAGGCGGUCUGCUAAAGAGAGAUGUGAAAGCCCCGGGCUUAACCUGGGAACUGCGUUUCUAACUGGCAGGCUUGAGUGUGGCAGAGGGGGGUGGAAUUCCGACGUGUAGCAGUGAUAUGCGUAGAGAUGUGGAGGAACACCGAUGGCGAAGGCAGCUCGCUGGGACGGUACUGACGCUGAGGCGCGAAAGCGUGGGGAGCGAACAGG